GAGAAUCGCUGGAGAUACCUG
rnacentral:miRNA from 1 species